rnacentral:rRNA from 1 species
UACGAAGGGGGCUAGCGUUGCUCGGAAUCACUGGGCGUAAAGCGCACGUAGGCGGAUUGUUAAGUCAGGGGUGAAAUCCUGGAGCUCAACUCCAGAACUGCCUUUGAUACUGGCGAUCUCGAGUCCGGGAGAGGUGAGUGGAACUGCGAGUGUAGAGGUGAAAUUCGUAGAUAUUCGCAAGAACACCAGUGGCGAAGGCGGCUCACUGGCCCGGAACUGACGCUGAGACGCGAAAGCGUGGGAGCAACAGG